GGCCUCAUAGUUCAAUGGCAAAACGUUUCCUUGACGUGGAAAAGUUCCAAGUUCGAUUCUUGGUGAGGCCA
rnacentral:tRNA from 1 species